AUAUUUACUUCCGUACGACAGCGUGCUACGUGUGACGUCUUUGUUGUGCGCGGAAGGAUACGCUUCGAGACACACCCCUUUUGGCAUGGAAGAAAGACGGGAGACCGCGGUCCGAGUUCUUUUGUAGAUUUUACAACAAAAGAGAAUAAAAUUGUAUGCCACAACUGUACAAUAUAUGAACGACUUAACGUUUAAGGAAUAAGACAAAAAUGCAUGCCUGUUGAGCAGCGAUCGGCAGGGAAUAAUUGGGCGACCAGGUCACUGGAGCCCUCAGGGGCCGCAAGACUACAAAGGCUUUUACAAUUUUGGGUAUAAACGGGUUGUUAACAGAUAUGCCUAAAGAUAGCCAUACGUGGUGCGAGAAGAGGCGCGAGGCGAGGCGCGAGGCGACCCGCCGUGCACGAGCAGCAGAGACAGACGAAGCACGAAACGCACGCCUAGCUAAGAAUCGGAUGAGCUUGAGCCGUGCGCGAGCCGAGGAGACCCCAGAGCAACGAGCGGAGCGUCGGGCAACACACGCCGUGCGCCGUCGGCAAGCAAGAGCCAAGGAAACACCGGAGAUGCGAACAGAGCGUCGCGCAAGGGACGCCAUGCGCAUGCGGGAAGUUAGGGCAAAGGAAACACCAGAGAUGCGAGCGGAGCGUCGGGCAAGGAAUGCCGUGCGCUGUCGGGAAGCCAGGGCAAAGGAAACACCGGAGAUGAGAGCGGACCGUCGGGCAAGAGACACCAUGCAACAUCAGGAUAUGAGGGCAGAUGACGUGUCGGAGAUGCAAGUGGAGCGAGUUGGCACUAGUUUGAACAAUAUAGACAUGUAUACCUAAAUGCAGACGUUUUGGUUACUCACAAUCACCUUUUGAAUUGCUUAUUUAUUUACUCGUUUUUCUACGGUUUCACUAUUGAUUUAUGAAUGCAUACAAUUGCAUCUUAUUAAAGGCACAACUAACAUGAUCCGUGACUGUUACGCAUUCAUUGGGAGGAGUUUUGCUUGUUAAAUUGUGUUGCCACAUAAUGAGAACAGGACACUGAGGUCUGCACGCUUCUAUCAGGUGAAAAUCUCACACCUGGCGCUGGGCAAGAAUGCUCCAAGGUACUUCUGAUAUUCGACCCUUCUAAGACAAACCAAACUUAAGUACUGGACCAAGUGAUUGCACUGCUAUGAACUUUGUUGUUGGUGAACAAAAAUUAGUACUACAGUUUAAUAAUAACAUCUCGAUUCUUAUUAAAA